rnacentral:rRNA from 1 species
AUUGAACGCUGGCGGCAGGCCUAACACAUGCAAGUCGAACGGUAACAGGAAACAGCUUGCUGUUUCGCUGACGAGUGGCGGACGGGUGAGUAAUGUCUGGGAAACUGCCUGAUGGAGGGGGAUAACUACUGGAAACGGUAGCUAAUACCGCAUAACGUCGCAAGACCAAAGAGGGGGACCUUCGGGCCUCUUGCCAUCGGAUGUGCCCAGAUGGGAUUAGCUAGUAGGUGGGGUAACGGCUCACCUAGGCGACGAUCCCUAGCUGGUCUGAGAGGAUGACCAGCCACACUGGAACUGAGACACGGUCCAGACUCCUACGGGAGGCAGCAGUGGGGAAUAUUGCACAAUGGGCGCAAGCCUGAUGCAGCCAUGCCGCGUGUAUGAAGAAGGCCUUCGGGUUGUAAAGUACUUUCAGUGGGGAUGAAGGGAGUAAAGUUAAUACCUUUGCUCAUUGACGUUACCCGCAGAAGAAGCACCGGCUAACUCCGUG